rnacentral:rRNA from 1 species
GCCGAACGCUGGCGGCGUGCUUAACACAUGCAAGUCGAACGAAGUGUCGAACGGGUGAGUAACGCGUACUCAACCUGCCCUUCAGAGGGGGACAACAGUUGGAAACGACUGCUAAUACCGCAUACUGAAGGAGGGGAUUGCGUCUGAGUAGCUAGUUGGAGGGGUAACGGCCCACCAAGGCGAUGAUCAGUAUGCGGUCUGAGAGGGUGAACGGCCGCAUGGUGACUGAGACAAGGCCCAGAAUCCUACGGGGUGCAGCAGUGGGGAAUCUUCCGAAAUGGACGAAAGUCUGACGGAGCAACGCCGCGUGAGUGAUGACGGCCUUCGGGUUGUAAAGCUCUGUUAAUCGGGACGCGGUACCGGAAUAGAAAGCCACGGCUAACUACGUGCCAGCAGCCGCGGUAAUUC